rnacentral:rRNA from 1 species
CCCAGACUCCUAUGGGAGGCAGCAGUGGGGAAUAUUGGGCAAUGGGCGCAAGCCUGACCCAGCAACGCCGCGUGAAGGAAGAAGGCUUUCGGGUUGUAAACUUCUUUUAAGAGGGAAGAGUAGAAGACGGUACCUCUUGAAUAAGCCACGGCUAACUACGUGCCAGCAGCCGCGGUAAUACGUAGGUGGCAAGCGUUGUCCGGAUUUACUGGGUGUAAAGGGCGUGUAGCCGGGCCGGCAAGUCAGAUGUGAAAUCCCGAGGCUCAACCUUGGAACUGCAUUUGAAACUGUUGGUCUUGAGUAUCGGAGAGGCAGGCGGAAUUCCUAGUGUAGCGGUGAAAUGCGUAGAUAUCAGGAGGAACACCGGCGGCGAAGGCGGCCUGCUGGACCGUAACUGACGUUGAGGCUCGAAAGCGUGGGGAGCAAACAGGAUUAGAUACCCGUGUAAA